ensembl:snRNA U6 U6 spliceosomal RNA
GUGCUCAUUUUGGUAGCAUAUACGUUAAAAUUGGAACGAUACAGAGAUUAGCGUGGCCCCUUAAGCAAGGAUGACAUAAAAAUUCAUGAAGUGUUCUAUAUUUAA